CCAUGGUGAGUGCAUCAACACUAUGAUUUUUCCUACUCAAUUUUCUCACCAUAAUUCAUCAUUUCCUCAUCAAUUCACUUGAAAUAAAAUCAAAAUCAUCAUCAAUAUUCCACAUGGAGAAUUCGGCCAAUGAUGGGUGAUGGGAGAAAAUGAAUUUUUCUUGUUGGUUUUUCAUGCUACACAUCAUGAACUAACUAAAAACACUAAAAUAUCUUAAAAUCUAACCCAAUCAAGCAUCAAAACUCCUCCCCCCAUGUCUGGCCAGCAAGUGACCCAUCAUG
rnacentral:lncRNA from 1 species